GGCAGCCGCGGGCGGAGCGAGGCUGCGGUAACUUCAGAUGGCUGGGUCAGGUAGAGGAAGAGGACGUGCUUCAUUUACCUUCAACAUUGAAGCCAUUGGCUUCUCUAAAGGUGCAGUUCUGCCUGAUGUUGUGUGUAAGCCUCCACCGCUAUUUCCUGUAAGUAUUGAAGCUUUCUUUAGAGCUCUCGGUGUCCAGGUAAAGUGCAUUCUCUUUCAUUUAGGCAUUGCAAUGAAGUAUAAGAACAACUCUAAGAACUUUAGGUCAGUUUUCAAGUACUUCAUGUUGCUGUUAUUACUGUUUUUAUUGUUAUCUCUUCCUACCCAUUUGCUAGCAGUUGUAUCCCUCAGUAACCUAGAUAGCUUAGAGUCCUCACUGUGAUUGGGUUUUCUGGAUGCUACAGUAAUAGAAACACUGGAUUUUUGAGCUUGCCUGAAAUGAAGUUAUACAGUUAUACUAGUGUUUCAAGGUAUGAAUGUAUCUGAUUUAGAAAUUUUCUUUUGAUGCAAACACAGAACAAUUUUGGAUGAUUACCUUGUGCUUCAGUAGCCAGAAAGUGAAAAAUAAUUUGAAAACAACAGAAAGAUGUUUUAUGUAAUUAAGGAUAUUGAGAUUGGAAAUUUUGGGUGUAUUUGGAAUGUAUCAGAAAAUUAAAGGGAAAGAAAAAGUAAGUUAUUUUCCUACCAAGCUGAGUUGUGCUAUGUAGUCAAACUUGGACAGUUUUGAGGCUGAAAAGUAGUCUUGCAGUUUUAUAUGAGAACUUCCCCUUUAUAUGACAAUUUGAUCAAGGUGCAUGAAAUUUUUCUCAACACAUUAUGAUAUGAAACUAGCAAGUUUGGCAGAUAAUCAAUGCUAUUCUGAUAUUUACCUGAAUAGUUAUUUCACACAUGGUUUUGAUUUACUGAACUGGAAGUUAUGUUAAUGUUGUAGUCCACCAUUUCCCUUAUAAUUUAGAUUGCAUAACUUCAUUGAUUUUAAGUCAUCUAAAUUGUUCCUAGUGUGAUUAUUAUCUACUUGAUAGCACUGAGAUACUGAAUUAUGUGUGACUAUAGAUUCUGCAGUUACAAUCAGCAAUGGAUUUGCCUUAGAAUUAUUAAUCCCAUAUCCAGUGUAUAACCCUUAAUAUAUACUUUGGGGAAGUUAAAGAUGCUUUUUUCCAUUGAAAAAUUGAAGUAACUCAGUGGUGUAACUAGAACUGGUAAAAAUAGCAUGAAUUACUUUUAAUGGUUGGGCAGCGACCAAAAGUGUGAUCUUACAGCUGUUCACUGACUUACACUGAAAUUAUUUUAAGCAGUGAGUUGUCAGUCAUGUUUACAUAUUUCUUAUGGUCUUUUUUGUGUUCUAAUUGAUUUCCUGUAAAUGCAAUUAGCAAACCAGUUAAGGUACAUCAGCAUACCAUCAGCAUCAUGAGAGGUUUAAAAUUCUGGCCAGCUAGCAAAGAAAGAUGGAACUAGUAAACUCCAGCCGUGGGACUUAUGAUAAUGCUUUGUAGUUUGCAACCAACCACUCAGAUAUUGAUUGUGCACCACCUGUCAGGUGAGAAAAAUACAACGUAGUUACAACAUACUGAUCCCAUCACUAGCCUUAGUUUGCCAUAUAUUUUAGAAACCUUUCAUUACAUAUCUUUCCAGUUUCAGGAUUUAUAGUUCAUUUUUAUAGUUCAUACAAAAGAUCUUUGUAUCUUUUGUGGUUUCCGUGGAAAUGAGUAGGAGACCUUUCUUCCAGAGCAAUCUACACAGUUGAAAUACUGUUUUAGAAGAGGUUAGGGCCUGCUUUACUUUUACUAAAGCAGUGGUUUCUGGUUAAGUUAGGUUGGAAUGAAGAACUGUUAUUGUUAUUUAAGAAUCCUGUAAGCUUAACGUAACUAUGAAUCACUAUUUCACAAUUUUAAUAUUUUCUCCUUGAUUGCUUGAUGAAUUUUUGCAGAAAGAUACAAUAAAGUUAUGAAAAGUAUAAAUUUAAACAGUUAUGUAUUUUAGAAUAUAAUAAAGUAUACCAGCAAUGUAUUAUAAUGCAAAGUUGCAUUCUUUCAUGAUUGUGUGUGUUUAUUGUAGUUUUUUUUAGUGUUCCUGCAUAUUUGAUGGAUAUCAAAGACAUUGCAAAUAAUAAAAAUAAUUUGUACAGAGUACAGACAAUAAGCCAGUGCCUCUGAAAACAGGAGAGGAUGAAGAUUACAUGUUGGCCUUAAAACAAGAUUUUAGAGGAGCUAUGAGAAAAAUGCCAUAUUUUUUGGCAGUAGAAGAAGAUAAUGAAGGUUUGUUUGUGUGCUUUUUAUUUUUAUUUCUGUCUUUAGUAUUUAUUCCAUAAAGGGUAAUGUAGUGGAAGGCAUGUGUUGAAGAUGUGUUUAGUAUUGAUAAGAGAGAAGGAGAAAGAGCUGGAGUAAUAUGAUAGGAAUGCUCUCAUUUACAUUUACUGAAGUUGCAGGUCACCCAUACAAGUGGUGUACCUUGAAAGCAACUGCUGUGUUAAAAAAGCAAGGUAUUCUGUUUGAUAUAAAGUAAAAAACAUUAAGACUAACUAUUUGCAGUUCUUUCAAUUAUAUGAUAAUCAAUACAAACUAAAUAGGUAUUACUACAUGUUAAAAAUAUUGUAAAAAUUUUGCAUUGGAGCAAAGAAAUCCAUAGUAAAUAUAAGAUUUGAAUUCAGCUUCCAUUUUAAUUGUGUAGACAUGUACUUAAUAAAUAUUUUAGUUAAUAGCUGGACAUUCUAAAACAUGCUCUUCUAGAACAUAAUUAUUUCCCCUGAGCCCACUCAGGAAGAUUGGUAAGAUGCAGCGAAGAUCAGGGAAGACUGAGAACUCACUUGAAAUAGAAAGAUCAAGGUGAGAGUAAAUGAUUUAUUGAGGUUCGCAUCAGAAGUAGAGCUGAAUUUGAAGACAAAACUUGAUCUUACUGCAUUUGACUUGAGAAUGUCUUUUACUUACAUAUAAUUAAACAUUAACAGUCUUGUUAUUGUCUGAUAAAAAUAAACGCUCUGCUACUUGAUAUCCAUUCAUGCAUCAUUACACUUUUAAAAUCCAAGCUUCCUGGUCAGAAAACAGAGCAGGGAAGGAAGGCCACAGUCUGUUUACUUUGCUGUAGCAGAAUUUUAAACCUAGCAGCCACGGGAGCUUAUUACUGUGAGGAGUGAUUUUUUUUCACUUGUGACUUUUGCCUCUCUCUGUUAUCCUUCUAUAUUCUGAUUCUCAGUGCUAUAAACACUAAGUGCUAAUAGGAAAAGAAGAAAUAUAGCAUGUUCGGAAGUGCUGUUUGUGUCAAACUGAAGGCCCAGUCCAUGCAAUAGGCUUUCUCUAUCAAGCUUUAUUGUUUAAGAAAUCCGGAAUAGCCGAACAUUAGAUAAUCUUUCCAUUGCUAUAAUGUGAUGAUUUCAAAUAAUGAGAACGCACAUGAACUCUACAAUGUGAGGUUUAAUAUCCAUCCUGAAACCAUCAAAGUAUUUUCUAACUCUGGGUAUUCAUGGUAGAGAUAUGAUAGUUACAUAGUCUCAUUCUCUCUUGAAUGUGGGCAAAUUCUAGAGGUUUUUGAGACUGUGUGCAAUUCUUUUUUUAUUAGCUUUGAGUACAAUACUCUAAUUAAUACACAUUAUUGACUGUUCACUUGUUCUUGUACUAAAAUACUACUUACACAGAAGAAACACACUGCAGUAUGAUAAUAUAGCUUCCAGUGCUCCCUUACCCCCUUAAUUUUUUUUUAGUUUGAACACAUGUUUAGCCACAUGUCUACGGUGUUUCAGUAUCCCUUCAGACAUUUUCUGGUGACCCUGAAUUGCUACAGAGAGCAUAAAACAGUUUAAGAGCCUGGAGUUCUCACAACAGUCAGAGAUGCUGACUGUGCAGCCAGGUAAACUCUUGGUUAUGGGGCAAGGAGAACAGAAGAUCUGAUCUUCAUUUCUAAAUCCUUUUAUGAUUGUAGAAGAAAUAAAAAUUACUCUUUUUUUUAACUCAUAUAUCUUUCAUCUCUCAUGUAAACAAAUUUCAGUCUUUCCAGUUUCUUAUCUCACCAGAGGCUUUCUGUGCUCUUGAUCUGUGUCAGGCUUGAAGUUUGCUAUUUCUGUCUGAGGCACAAAACAAGAAACUGCUGUGCCUGAAAGCAUGUCUGAAUAGUUUCAAAGGAACCAGCUGCUUUGAGAAUGUUACCUCUGUUUUCCAACUUUGCCUCAUGUGGUAGUUCUUACCCCUUAACCUUUGUUUUCUGUAUCCUUCUUUCUGACUAUUAGUGCUGAGUAUGCUCUUUAAUAGAACUGCCAGCUUUGACUGUUUUUAUACAAAAAUUGGCAGUUGCAGGUAAGCAAGAACAGUGCCACUUCAAUUCUUCUCAGUGUCUCCCAGAGGAUAAGUUAGUGUCUUGCCAUAACUCCCCACUGAACCUUUAGCUACAGAAAAAUACCUCUGUUUCAGUGGUUUAGUAUGGUUACAUCAGUGGUUGUCUGCAGCUUAAAUAGCUUGUUUUCAUUUAAUUAUUCUGAACUGAUCUUUUCAGUAAUGUGGUUUACAACUCUUUUCUUCCCUGUAUUUCAUCUAAACAUCUGGUAGGAUUACAGGAGAGGCAGAAGUGGGGACUGUUGGCAGAAAUUUCUUAGAUUGGCUUUGCUGCAAGAGCAAAUGAAUUCUUUUAGACUAUCAGCACAACAUCUGUGAGCCAAAUGGUCAUUUGAAGAGUGAGAGGGGAAACAUUUUAAUUAGUUAGGACCAGCUGUCUGUCUUUCUUUCAUUAUUCGCGUAGUGAAAGAAAGUCAUGUAUAAUAGUACCUGGCAAUUUUGAUGCAUUAGUAUACCAUAUAUAGAUUUUCAUCAUUCAUUUCAAACUAAUUUUGAGCAAGUGGUAGGUGUGUUCUCCAAGUUCUCUGUUUUCUUUACUUCCUAAGCUAUGAAUCAUUCAUAUUAUUCCUGCAGGUAUAUCUGCUGUGACUGGGUGACUGUCACCUUGGCAGUGGUUUGGAAUUAAUUCAUCAAUUGUGAGUGGCAAGUCAGGCAGGCACAUGUUUUUUUACUGAUGGCAUCAGCAAUUAAUUCUUCACUAAAGAUCAUCAAGCUGGAAUCAAAACUACUAGUGUCUUUCCCCAUGUUGCUGACAGUUUCAGACAACAUCUAUGAAAGCCACCUAUAUUAAGUGCCCCUUCAGACACUGUCAUUUUAGAUACAAGCUUUUUGUUGCUCGGUUUUAAGUAGGUCUUCAGCUGCCUUUACCACAGCUAAGUUUAAAAUUGAGUUUAAUUUCUGAUAUCGUCUUUUUCCACACUUUUCUACAGUGAGUAUGUUAGAAGUCUUCUACUGCAUAGAUCACAGUCUGUUUUUCACUUUUUGUACAGGACUCACAAAAAUAAUUCCUGUUUGAGUAAUGAGAUGUUACUACAAUCAGAAUAAAUAAUUUUGUGUUGUGGAUGUUGCAAUUGGGCAUGGUGAUUUGAAAAGAAAAAAUGAGACUGGUUAAAAAUAGUUUUCUCAUUAAAGGUUGUGCAAGGUUAUUUUUUUCCAGGAUGAAUCCAUAUACCUGUACUGUAUAACUACUGUGCUAUUUAUACUGCAUUUUUCAAUUUAUUUAUUGUGCCUAGACUGAGGAAAAAUGGACAAAAACAUAUUGUUUCUGUUUCAGAAACAUCUUGCUAUAACACAAAGGUUUGGCAUUGCAGAAGUACUCGAAGCCCUGGGACUUGGUGAUGAUCAGUCAUUCAGAGAUGACUUCUGAGGCCUUCUGAGACCUUCUAAUUCUGGAUGCUUCCAGGCCUUCUGAGUCCUAGGAAUUUUGGAUGCUUAUUAGGAUUGACAAUAUAUGCCAUUAAUUUUAUUUUUUUCAAUCACAAAAUGACAGGAGGGUUGAGGCUGUCAUGGGUCCAUCUGUCCCAACCUCUGCUCCAGCAGGAGCACCCAGAGCGGAUUACCCAGGUCCAUGUCCAGGAGGCUUCUGCAGAUCUACAAGGAGGAGACUCCAUAGCCUUUCUGGGCAGCCUGUGCCAGCGCUCCAUCACCCAAACAGCACGGGAGUACUGCUUGAUGGUCAGAGUGAACUUCCUGUGUUCUAGAUUGUGUCCAUUGCCUUUUGUCCUGGCACUGGGUACCACUGAAAAGAGCCUGGAUCCAUCCUCUUUGCACUCUCCCUUCAGGUAUUUGUGGACAAGAUGGAUGAGAUCCCCCUGAGCCUCCGUUUCUCCAGGUUGAGCAGUCACAGCUUUUUCAGCCUCUCCUCAAAGGAGUGGUGCUGCUGUACUUCAACAUUUUUGUAACCCUAUGUUGGACUCACUCCAGUAUAUCCAGAUCUCUCUUUUACUGGGGGAGCCAAGAACUGGACAAAGGACUCCAGGUGUGGUCUCACCUAUACUAGUAGACCUGCUGACAACACUUUGCCUGAUGCAGUCCAGAUUACCACUGGCAUUAGCAGCAAAGGGGCAUUGCUGGCUCAUGUUCAGGUUGGCUCAGCUAUCAGGAUCCCUGAUCCUUCCCUGCAGAGUUGCUUCCAGCUGAGUGCCACUAGCAUGUCCUGGUGCCUGGGGUUGUUCUUCCCCAGGUGCAGGACUUUGCGCUUCUGCUUGUUGAACUUGACAAGGUUCCUGCCAGCCAGAAUCUCCAGCUUGUCCAGGUACAGAACAGAAUUCUGAGUUGGAAGGGACCUAUAAGGAUCAUCAUGUUCACGUCUUGGCUCCUUACAGGAUGACCUGAAAUUCAAACCCUAUGUCUAAGAGCACUGUCCAUAUGCUUCUGAAACUCUGGCAGCUUGGUGCAUUGACCCUGGGGAGUCUGUUCCAGUGCCUGACCACCUUCCCAGCAAGGAACCUCUUCCUAACACUCAGUCUGACUCUCCUUUAAUACACAGUCUGACUCUCAUUUAACACAGCUUCAUAUUUACUGCAUUCAACUCUGGGAUCCCCAGCACAAGAAAGAUGUGGAUCUGUUGGAGCAAGUUCAGAGAAGGCCACAAGAAUGCUUGGAGGGCUUUUCUAUGAAAAAAUGGUGAGGGAAAUGGUCUUGUUUAGCCUGGAGAAGAGAAGGCUUCAGGGAGACCUGUGAGGGUGAGAAGCUUUGACACAGGUUGCCCAAAGAAGCUGUGGAUGGCCCAUCUCUGAAGGUGUUCAAGGGCAGAUUGGAUGAGGCUCUAAGCAACCUGGACUAGUGGGAAAUGUCCCUGCCAGUGGCAGGAUGUUGGAACUGGAUGGUCUUUAAAUUUCUUUCAAGCUGAAACCAUGCUACGAUUCUGCUAUUCUCCUAGGUCCUAUUUCUGAGGGAUCAUUGCUCUGUUAUGAGGAAGCUAUAGACCAGAUCCCCCUGGAUGGCUGCACAACCCCCUGGUCCAUCUGCCACUUCCAUACUUUUGUGUCAUCAGCACACUGCUAAGGAUGUACUCUGCCAUCACCCAGAUCAUUAAUAAAGAUGUUAGACAGGACAUGGACCCAGUGUUGGCCCCUGGGUCUCCAGCUGGGCUUUGUACCACAGAUCAUCACUCUGUGGUGCAGCUGUUGAGCCAAUUAUCAGUCCACCUCUCUGCUUGCCCUUCCAGCCCGUACAUGGACAACCAGGUGGACAAGAAUGGCAUUCCCUUGGUGGAAAGGAGAUACCUUCAAAAUGGGGAGCAAUAUUCUUUCUGUUUUUUGCUAUAUAGUUAUUUAUUGUUUUUGGUUUUGAGACCUAAGGUUAUAAAAUCCAGGUUUUUUGAGUACUUACCAUAUGAUUAGUCCUAGGAAUUACCGUGAAAACUGUUAUGAAACUGUUCUUAAGUGUUGUACAACAGUGCAAGAAAGUGCUUCAUGUGGGGUAAAGAGGUUAUACUAUAGGUUUAAUUACAGGAAAAUACCCAAAACACUGGAUUGUCUCUAUAAUGGAUUCAAAAAAUCUUUGCAUCUUUCUCUACAGCAAUUGAAAGGUACAGUAAAAAGUACAUGGAUGAUGAAAAGGAGCACGCAACAUGGACCCCAGGUAAUACCUGAGAAUACCAAAGGCUAUUUUGGUAUUAGCCUGGGUAAUCUGUUCUUCUGAAAUGUUUGAUUCCAAAUUUUUAAAGUAAUAAAAUAGUACAUACAUCCUUACCAAGGCAUGUAUUCUUUGUUGAGGGUUAUGCCCUUUUCAUGUUUUCAGGUCAAAGGGAAGUACUGUUCUGUCUUGAAAAGAAUAAAUAAAUAUGAUUGUAGUUUUUUCUCAUUCAAAACAACUAAUUCUCAGCAAAAAUGCAAGCUUGAUCUCUAUAGCUUUCCCUCUUUGUUAUUUCCCAUGCACAUACCAGUUUUAAACUGGGAGAAGAUAUAAAAGUUACGUACUAAAAAACUCCACCAAUAUGGUUUCUCAGUCACUGGUAGAUUGAUUUUAUGACACUAAAUUUUCACAGAUAUAUAUGAAUAGAUCAGUACUGAAGGCUUGAUGAUACUAUGCAACUUAAGGGCAUCUGGGACAGUGGAAGGGCUGAAUUUUGUCUGACUGAGCUAGAUGCCAGUUUUCAUGAAGUGGGUAAAAUGCUGGUCCUCGUUAUACUUCGUCACCCAAAGUACAGCUAAAAUUCAGCAAUACCGUUGGGAUUCAACAAAAUUGUUGGGUGCUGAAACAAUUAGACGUAUAAACCCUAUAUGACCUCAUAUGACAAUUAGACUUAUAUGUCAUGGAAUCAAGCCCGGCAGAGGCAGUCUUGCUGAGUGAGAGGAGGAGGAUUACUGCUGUAAAUCAUUGUUUAGAAGUAUUAAAGCUAUUUUCUGUACAGAUUGGAGAAGACUCCCAAGAGAGAUGAAGCCCAGGAAAAAGAUGAAAAAAGGUAGAUUAUGUAUUUUUAAAGAUUUUAAAAGAUUUUGUAAGAAGACAUGCUAGAGCUGGAUAGAGUUAGAUAGAUGUAAUAAAUAGCGCUUUUGAUAGAUUAUUUUCUACAUAAUUGAGUAAACUGACUGGCUUUUAAUAAUUUGCUAGCUGCUUUUGUGUAAUAUUGGAAGAUUAAAAAUGCAAAAAAUCUUUUUGUUUUGCAGUCUAUCUUCUAUUCAACAAAUAGCUAGCUGUUCAGAUUUUCCUCAAAUUUUGGGUUUCUCAAUUAAAUUGUAUAUUAUUUGGUUGACUUGUAUUUUUUAGGUCUUUUGUAUGUAAUUUAAUGUAGGUUAUUUUCUGUUUCUCUGGUUUUACUUUUUUUGUUUAUUUUCAGCUUUCUUCUGCAGAAUUGUGAACCAGAUCCUUCAACAGCAGUUGGAGCUGGUAUUGGUUGCUCUUUAAGGAAAAGAAAUAUUUUUAUUGCACAGCAUCAAAAGUGUAUUCAUUUUUAAAAGUGUUUUCUAGUAUGCAUGACUAUUAUUUUUAGUUCUCUAUAGAAGUCUGUUGCUUUGUUGAUGUGAAACAACACUUGGCCUCCUGUAGCUAGCUGUCUGUUACAUACAAUUGUUUACUUUCUCGCUCUCUUUGUCCAAGUCCUUCAUAUGUCAUUUUUCAGUUCAAGGAUAAAAUAGAAAAAGGAAAGGGAAUGUGCAGUAGUCAUGGAGACUGGCUCAGCUGGAAGCUUUUUUUCUUUUAAGAGUGUCAUUGAGAAGCAUGGUAAUAAAGGUAGACAUCAAGAUUCAGUUGAAAUUAACUACUUAUUUGCAAAAUCCCUCAAGAAGAAAUGAGUACAUAUCUAUUUUCUUUUUUAAAAAAAGAAGAAGUUGCAUUGGCUUUUGGAAGCCUACAGGCAAUAAUAAACUCCCCGAGAUUCCGCGAAAUCAUAAAUGCCAAUCCAAUAUCCCUUUGAUAUACUAACAUUCUAAUUAUCACAAAGUAUCACUGAUCAGUGUGUUCUUUAUAUCCACUGUCUUUUGUGCAUGUUUCUCAAUUGCUCUUAAAAGUACAUUUUCUUACAUAAUUGUAACAGCAAAGAUCAGCUGACCACCCAGAUUUGAUUGGGUAAAACACCUGUUUCUCUAAAAGCAAAAAUCAGGAGGUUUCAGGUUUUUUUUUGAGGGGAAUCUUGGUGACAUGGAGAUCAUACGAAAGUCAUGUUACUUUUUGUUUUAAUGACAGCCAAGUUAGGUGACACUUCAUAACUGAGUGGAACAAAGGUGAAGGAGUGAAGGGAAUUUUAUCUGCACUGAUACACAGACAGGUUUCCUACAAUUCUAUCAUCAAAGAUCGCAGGAGUGGUUUCUGGGUCAGUACACAGGUAUACAUACAGGGCUGGCUUCAUUUUGACCCCCUUUGUGACUCCCCUGAGUGUUUUAACUUAACACCUGGCCAUGUCUUUUACUGACGUAACUUUAGGUAGGGUUUCAUAUGUCUCCCACACUUAGGCUGGGCUGUGCACCACAAUAUCUGAAAUAUCAGCAGUGCCUCCAAAAACAAUAACCCCAAAUAAAUUUUUUUAAAAAAAGAAAAAAACACACAAGCAGUAAGCUGACUGGCUUCAGCUCCUGUGGGUCAGCUGUACGCAUAAGUAGACAGCAAUCAGAUUUACUCAUGUAAGCCAAAGAACAGCAGUUUAAAAGAAAAUAGAUUGUAUUGCCUUGCAUCUCAAAGAAACAUGGGUAUAAAGAGCUAUUUUUCUUACAGUUCUACAUUCAAAUGGUGAUCCCGUGUCUGUAAUAUUACAGUUAGUUCCAGAGAUUCCCACCAUUUAGUGAAGGCUUUUGCAUACCUUUUUUGACUUCCAAGCUGUUUAUAGACAUUAUCUCUAAAAGUCUGCAGGUGUUUGUGCAGAGAUGAUCAUUUUGAAUCACACUUGUUUACUCUAAAGGCCUCCUUCAUUCUGGUUGUGUUUGCUUGGACGUAUGUUCACACAUUAUUACAGAGCAGCUUGACUUCCCUCAGCUAUGUGUGGUGCUUUUGUUGUUUAAACUCUUCCUAGGCAAAGUACUGAAAUGAACAGAGUGUUAUUUACGACAAAUGCUUUUAAGAAAAUGCAGUUAUUUUCUUAGCAACUUCUAGUGCUCUGUUUCCUUAGCUAUUGGGCCAAAUAAAAUACAUACCACUUUGGACUACUGCCUGCUCCAGAAAAGCUAUCUCCUCCUUCCAUCAGCACAAAUUUUCUUUCUCAAAAAACUUAGUGUACUGUAGUGUUAAAAAAACAAAAAACAAACAAACAAACAAAAAAAGGAUGCAUGUUGCAUAACUACCUGGUCUGUAGCUGCCUGGUCAUCAGAGGCUGUGUAACUACGCCAGUGUGGAACUUACCCGGGCACCAGGCAGUUUUACUUUGCAGAGAAGAGCCAUUGUGUUAGGUACAACCCUAAGGUGUAAGUUUAAUGCAGGGCUGCAUGGCACAGCAAGAGAGUGGAAAGACAGGUAUAUCAUGGAAACAGGACAUCUCUAGCUUUGCUAUAAUAUUUCUCAGCCCAGAGCUCUUUGUUUCUGCUGGUCAAACUGCACUCCUGGAACUGAGACAGGUGUUGCCAAGCUUAAAGUGCUUCAAUUCAGAUGCCUCUUACCUGGUUAUGGAGUCAUACUUUCAACCUUUACACCGCCAUAUAAUUCAGUAGGAUGAGGAUGAAUUGUAGGGAGUAACUUGAUAAAGGCUGUGUCCACGUAAGCGUCAUUUCUGGUCCAAAAGCCAUUUAACUGCAGUAACCUCAUUACCCCAGGGAAGCUCACAAACUCUUCUGUCUGCCUUUUUUUUUUUUUUCACUUUUUAAAAAAUACCUGUCUGAAAUGCCCUGCUGUCAUUAUUUUGUACAUACGUUUUAUCUCUUUAGAUGUUAAAAAAUGACAACAUAUUUGUGGAUUUUUUUUUCCUAAUGUCUUAAUUUACUGGGGGUAAGUGAAAAGCAUUUUGUGAAGCUGAAUGCUGUAGUUUGAUCAAACUUUCCAUCAGAUAUCUGUGUAAAAUGAACUUCAAUCUGGCCCUGUAGACAUCACUUAGAUGAAUCAGGCCAUUAUUCCUCUAUGGCUGAUGUAGCUCAGAGCUGAAGUAAUUUUAGUACAGAGAGUACAGAAUUUUCAUGGCAGUUACUACUCUUAAGAUAGAAGCUCUUAAAAGCAAAUAAAAGGAUUCCUGUUAUUUUAAAUACAAGAAAAAAUAAUAGCUAUGUACUUUAUUUCAGCAGGUGCAAAACCAAAAAAGGCAAAGAAUUCUGAGCCUAAAAGUAACUUGGAUGUGUUGAAAAAAAUUGAGCACUUCACUGACAUUGGAAUAAACCCAUUAGUAAGAUGAGAGCAAAUACACAGAGAGAAGGAGUAUUCAGGAGGAAAGUGACUGUGAUUUUGGUGCUGACUACCCACCAUGUGGAAAUGGAAAGCUGAAAGGUGAAAUAGCUCCAUAUUGUUUUCUUGAUGAUAUGUUGCUCCAAGAGUGGGUGGUAAAGGGAAUGAAUCAUUUCAAUUUAUCAUACAAGACAUGGUUUUUUUUGACUUGAAGCCUGAUGACUUACACUCAAUAAAAAAAAGUUCUUAUAACGUUCUAGCAUUUCACAUCACGUUGUCCUAAGAUAUUGACAAAAAAUAUUUGUACAAUAUUGUUAGGCUACUCAUCUUGCUAUUAACUGCAGUAUAACACUUUGGUUGUGAGGAGAGUAUACUGUUGCUGUAAUGUUGGAUUACCGUGUAAAUGAAAAUGUCUUCUGACAGGAGUUGGAAAAGAAGGAUGAUGAAGAAGAAAAAUCUGACGAUGAGAAAGACAGAAUGAAAGAUAAAGAAGGUGAAGAUGAUGAAGAAGCCGAAGAACCAGAGGAAUAUGAUGAAGAGGAACAUGAA